UACGUAGGGGGCUAGCGUUGUCCGGAAUCAUUGGGCGUAAAGAGCGUGUAGGCGGCCCGGUAAGUCCGCUGUAAAAGUCAAAGGCUCAACCUUUGAAUGUCAGUGGAUACUGCCGGGCUAGAGUCCGGAAGAGGCGAGUGGAACUCCUGGUGUAGCGGUGGAAUGCGCAGAUAUCAGGAAGAACACCAACGGCGAAGGCAGCACUCUGGGACGUGACUGACGCUGAGACGCGAAAGCGUGGGGAGCAAACAGG
rnacentral:rRNA from 1 species